rnacentral:rRNA from 1 species
UACGGAGGGGGCUAGCGUUGUUCGGAAUUACUGGGCGUAAAGGGUGCGUAGGCGGUUUGAUAAGUCUGAUGUGAAAUCUAUGGGCUCAACCCAUAGUCUGCAUUAGAAACUGUCGGGCUUGAGUAUGGGAGAGGUGAGUGGAAUUUCCGGUGUAGCGGUGAAAUGCGUAGAUAUCGGAAGGAACACCUGUGGCGAAAGCGGCUCACUGGACCAUUACUGACGCUGAUGCACGAAGGCUAGGGGAGCAAACAGG